UAGUGAUAUGCUUGUUUCAAAGAUUAAGCCAUGCAUGUGUAAGUAAAAAUGAACUUUUACAGUGAAACUGCGGAUGGCUCAUUAAAUCAGUUUUAAUUUGUUUGAUGGAUGUUGAGAAACCACAUGGAUACCCGUAGUAAUUCUAGAGCUAAUACAUGCACGAACGCCCGACCUCCGGUCGGGUUGUAUUUAUUGGAUCCCAAAGCCAAGCCGCUUGCGGCUCUGUUUGUUGAUUCACAAUAACUUGUCGGAUCGCCUCCCCGGAGGCGAUGUGUCAAAAAGGACUCUGCCCUAUCAGCUUUCGAUGGUUCUGUCUUGGAGAACCAUGGCGUUUACGGGUGACGGAGAAUCAGGGUUCGAUUCCGGAGAGGGAGCUUGAGAAUCGGCUACCACAUCUAAGGAAGGCAGCAGGCGCGCAAAUUACCCAAUCCUGACUCAGGGAGGUAGUGACAAAAAAUAACAAUACCGGUUUCUUCUGAGACUGGUAAUUGGAAUGAGAACAAUUUAAACUCGUUAUCGAGGAUCCAUU
rnacentral:rRNA from 1 species